AGAGUUUGAUCCUGGCUCAGGACGAACGCUGGCGGCGCGCCUAAUGCAUGCAAGUCGAACGGUCCCUUGGCCUUCGGGCCUGUGGGAUAGUGGCAAACGGCUGAGUAACGCGUAAGGGACCUGACCCCGGGUGGGGGAUAACCCAUCGAAAGGUGGGCUAAUACCCCGUACGCUCUCCUGCUGCAUGGCAGGUGAGGAAAGCCUCAGGACGCCCGGGGAGGGUCUUGCGUCCUAUCAGGUUGUUGGCGGGGUAACGGCCCACCAAGCCUAAGACGGGUAACCGGUGUGAGAGCAUGAACGGUCAGAGGGGGACUGAGACGCGGCCCCCACUCCUACGGGAGGCAGCAGCAGGGAAUUUUGCGCAAUGGGCGAAAGCCUGACGCAGCGACGCCGCGUGGGGGAAGAAGGCCUUCGGGUUGUAAAUCCCUUUUCUGGGGGAAGAGUUCGGACGGUACCCCAGGAAUAAGCCCCGGCUAACUACGUGCCAGCAGCCGCGGUAAUACGUANGGGGCGAGCGUUGUCCGGAGUUACUGGGCGUAAAGGGCGCGUAGGCGGCCCAGGAAGU
rnacentral:rRNA from 1 species